rnacentral:rRNA from 2 species
UACGUAGGGGGCAAGCGUUAUCCGGAUUUACUGGGUGUAAAGGGAGCGUAGACGGUAAAGCAAGUCUGAAGUGAAAGCCCGGGGCUCAACCCCGGGACUGCUUUGGAAACUGUUUAACUAGAGUGCUGGAGAGGUAAGCGGAAUUCCUAGUGUAGCGGUGAAAUGCGUAGAUAUUAGGAGGAACACCAGUGGCGAAGGCGGCUUACUGGACAGUAACUGACGUUGAGGCUCGAAAGCGUGGGGAGCAAACAGG